rnacentral:lncRNA from 1 species
GAAGAUCAAGUUGUCAAACUUUCACCUUGGUUCAUCUACUGCCAUGACCGCAUCACUGAGACCAUGCGACGACGCUUUCACUAUCAUUGUGUUGUUUGGUCUCCUCGUUCGACCUUCGUCUCUCAUUUCUAUGUCGAGAGGUCCAUUCUCGCGAUUUUUGUUGUUGAUGACGUACAUGACUUCUUAGUUGUAGUUACAACGAUUCUCUGGCUCUGACAAUGUGGGACAGGUACAUAUGGAGCUAGGCUCAUAGUGAUAUACCUAAAUAGUUCAUUCGAAAUACACACAUGCCACCUAAUCAAAGGCCCACCAUAACAUGCCCGAGAAAAGGUUUUUCAUUUUUGGUUGAUUCCAUGCACACAUCUCACUUCAGCACAUAUACCGUCUCAUUAAAGGUCAACUCAACAUGCAUGGAAAAAGUUUUUCACUAUAUGAUGCCACUAUAUUGAAAAAAUUCAUAAUAUAUGAUAUAUAAUUUUUAUUUUAUUUUAGUUUGUGUAUUAUUAAUUCUGCUACGAAUGUUUCACACAAUCAAACCACUAAAGUUUAUUGCAAUUCCACAGCGGUAUUUCUAGUAAAAUAGUUGUUUCUUAUUAUUCGAGGCCUUCUUUGCUUGGGGUCUGUGUACCGGCGCGGUCACGCCACCUGGCGCGGAGGGGACGAGCCAUAUUCGUAGGAGAGCAAUGCUACACAUACGUAAUGUUACGUUCAGAUUUUACAUAAAAGCUGAUGUGGGGUUUGUUAAUUGGGCCAGGAUUUGCAGCUGGGGCCCACCCCGGUUAAAAUAGGGGGGAGAAGGAAAUUUUAUGGAAGGUUACGCCCUACGUAGAACGCUUCGUAGGUGUAGAAUUAUCGUUAUUUUUUUGAAACUAGAACACCUUGCAUUCCAAAAAAAUUACGGUGGACUGACCCGAUCGGCGGCCACGGCACGGGUUACAUCAGGUGGCAAAUCAGACUGCCAGAUCAGCUGACUAUCAGGCUCAGCCCUCGCACCAACAACAGCUAACAAAUGUGCUGGGUUAUUACAUGCCAUCGGACAGAACAAGACUUUAUGCUCUGUAAACCCUAGCUGGAGAAGGAACUUCGCUUCACGGAUUAGCACGCCAAGAGAGCUGCGAUCCUGGGAUAUGCCGUCAAUAGCUAACUGCAGGGGUUGGCAGUCAGUCUAAAAGAACACCCGACCCAUGCCUUGCAGCUCUGCGAACUGGAUGGCCUUCAUCAAAGCUUCCGCUUCCGCGUGCAGCGGACUGCUUAAAUUCAGGAGUCUACCCGCUGCCGCCACUAUGCAGUCCCCUCUGCUGUCAUGAACCAGGAGGUGUCGGAAGUAUGCCCUAGAGGCAAUAAUAAAAUGAUUAUUAUAUUUCCUUGUUCAUGAUAAUUGUCUAUUGUUCAUGCUAUAAUUAUAUUAUCCGGAAAUCGUAAUACAUGUGUGAAUACAUAGACCACAAUGUGUCCCUAGUGAGCCUCUAGUUGACUAGCUCGUUGAUCAACAGAUAGUCAUGGUUUCCUGGCUAUGGACAUGGGGAUGUCAUUGAUAACGAGAUCACAUCAUUAGGAGAAUGAUGUGAUGGACAAGACCCAAACCUAAGCAUAGCACAAAGAUCGUGUAGUUCGUUUGCUGUAGCUUUUCUGGAUGUCAAGUAUCAUUUCCUUAGACCAUGAGAUUGUGCAACUCCCGGAUACCGUAGGAGUGCCUUGGGUGUGCCAAACGUCACAACGUAACUGGGUGACUAUAAAGGUACAUUACAUGUAUCUCCGAAAGUGUCAGUUGGGUUGGCACGAAUCGAGACUGGGAUUUGUCACUCCGUAUGACGGAGAGGUAUCUCUGGGCCCACUCGGUAAUGCAUCAUCAUAAUGAGCUCAAUGUGAUCAAGUGGUUGAUCACGGGAUCAUGCAUUACGGUACGAAUAAAGUGACUUGCCGGUAACGAGACUGAACGAGGUAUUCGGAUACCGACGAUCGAGUCUCGGGCAAGUAACGUACCGAUUGACAAAGGGAAUUGAGUACGGGAUUGAUUAGGUCCUCGACAUCAUGGUUCAUCCGAUGAGAUCAUCGAGGAGCAUGUGGGAGCCAACAUGGGUAUCCAGAUCCCGCUGUUGGUUAUUGACCAGAGAGUCGUCUCGGUCAUGUCUACAUGUCUUCCGAACUCGUAGGGUCUACACACUUAAGGUUUGGUGACGCUAGGGUUGUAGAGAUAUGAGUAUGCAGUAACCCGAAAGUUGUUCGGAGUCCCGGAUGAGAUCCCGGACGUCACGAGGAGUUCCGGAAUGGUCCGGAGGUGAAGAAUUAUAUAUAGGAAGUGCAAUUUCGGCCAUCGGGAGAGUUUCGGGGGUCAGCGGUAUUGUACCGGGACCACCGGAAGGGUCCCGGGGGUCCACCGGGUGGGGCCACCCAUUCCGGAGGGCCUCAUGGGCUGAAGUGGGGAGGGAACCAGCCCAUAGUGGGCUGGUGCGCCCCCCCCUUGGGCCCCCCAUGCGCCUAGGGUUGGGAACCCUAGGGGAGGGGGCGCCUCCACUUGCCUUGGGGGGCACUCCACCCCCUUGGCCGCCGCCCCCCCUAGGAGAUCCCAUCUCCUAGGGACGGCGCACCCCCUAGGGGGCCUAUAUAAAGGGGGGAGGGAGGGCAGCCGCACCUGAAGCCUUGGCGCCUCCCUCUCCCCUGUUACACCUCUCCCUCUCGAAGAAGCUCGGCGAAACCCUGCUGCGAUCACUGCUGCAUCCACCACCACACCGUCGUGCUGCUAGAUCUCCGUAAACCUCUCCUUCCCCCUUGCUGGAUCAAGAAGGAGGAGACGUCAUCUGCUCCGUACGUGUGUUGAACGCGGAGGUGCCGUCCGUUCGGCACUUGGUCAUCGGUGAUUUGGAUCACGGCGAGUACGACUCCAUCAUCCCCAUUCUCUUGAACGCUUCCGCUCGCGAUCUACAAGGGUAUGUAGAUGCACUCCCCUCUCAUUACUAGAUGACUCCAUAGAUAGAUCUUGGUGAAACGUAGAGAAUUUUUUUUGUUUUCUGCAACGUUCUCCAACAGUGGCAUCAUGAGCUAGGUCUAUGCGUAGUUACUAUGCACGAGUAGAACACAAAAUAGUUGUGGGCGUCGAUAUUGCCAAUUUGCUUGCCGUUACUAGUCUUAUCUUGAUCCGGCGGCAUCGUGGGAUGAAGCGGCCCAGACCAACCUUACACGUAUGCUUACGUGAGACCGGUUCCACCGACUGACAUGCACUAGUUGCAUAAGGUGGCUGGCGGGUGUCUGUCUCUCCCACUUUAGUCGGAUCGAAUUCGAUGAACAGGGUCCUUAUGAAGGGUAAAUAUAAAUUGGCAAUUCAUGUUGUGGUUUUGGCAUAGGUAAGAAAACGUUCUUGCUAGAACCCUAUUGCAGCCACGUAAAAACUUGCAACAACAAUUAGAGAACGUCUAACUUGUUUUUGCAGCAAGUGUUUUGUGAUGUGAUAUGGCCAAAGUUGUGAUGAAUGAUAUAUAUGUGAUGUAUGAGAUGAUGUUCUUGUAAUAGGAAUCACGACUUGCAUGUCGAUGAGUAUGACAACCGACAGGAGCCAUAGGAGUUGUCUUUAUUUUUUAUAUGACCUGCGUGUCAUUGAGAAACACCAUGUAAAUUACUUUACUUUAUUGCUAAACGUGUUAGCCAUAAUAGUAGAAGUAAUAGUUGGCGAGCAACUUCAUGGAGACACGAUGAUGGAGAUCAUGAUGAUGGAGAUCAUGGUGUCAUGCCAGUGACAAGAUGAUCAUGGAGCCCCAAGAUGGAGAUCAAAGGAAGCUAUAUGAUACUGGCAAUAUCAUGUCACUAUUAUUUGAUUGCAUGUGAUGUUUAUCAUGUUUUUGCAUCUUGUUUACUUAGAACGACGGUAGUAAAUAAGAUGAUCCCUCAUAAUAAUUUCAAGAAAGUGUUCCCCCUAACUGUGCACCGUUGCGACAAUUCGUUGUUUCGAAGCACCACGUGAUGAUCGGGUGUGAUAGAUUCCAACGUUCACAUACAACGGGUGUAAGACAGAUUUACACAUGCAAACACUUAGGUUGACUUGACGAGCCUAGCAUGUACAGACAUGGCCUCAGAACACAGAAGACCGAAAGGUCGAGCAUGAGUCGUAUAGAAGAUACGAUAAACAUGAAGAUGUUCACCGAUGUUGACUAAUCCAUCUCACGUGAUGAUCGGACACGGCCUAGUUAACUCGGAUCAUGUUAUACUUAGAUGACUGGAGAGAUGUCUAUCUGAGUGGGAGUUCAUCGAAUAAUUUGAUUAGAUGAACUUAAUUAUCAUGAACUUAGUCUAAAAUCUUUACAACAUGUAUUUUAGAUCAAAUGGCCAACGUUGUCCUCAACUUCAACGCGUUCCUAGAGAAAACCAAGCUGAAAGACGAUGGCAGCAACUAUACGGACUGGGUCCAGAACCUGAGGAUCAUCCUCAUAGCUACCAAGAAAGAUUAUGUCCUACAAGCACCGCUAGGUGAAGCACCUGCUCUCCCAGCAGAACAAGACGUUAUGAACGCUUGGCAGACACGUGCUGAUGAUUACUCCCUUGUUUAGUGCGGCAUGCUUUACAGCUUAGAACCGGGGCUCCAAAGGCAUUUUGAGAGACACGGAGCAUAUGAGAUGUUCGAAGAGCUGAAAAUGGUUUUUCAAGUUCAUGCCCGGGUCGAGAGAUAUGAAGUCUCCGACAAGUUCUUCAGCUGUAAGAUGGAGGAAAACAAUUCUUUCAGUGAGCACAUACUCACUAUGUCUGGGUUACAUAACCGCUUGACUCAGCUAGGAGUUAAUAUCCCGGAUGACGCGGUCAUUGACAGAAUCCUUCAGUCGCUUCCACCGAGCUACAAGAGCUUUGUGAUGAACUUCAAUAUGCAGGGGAUGGAAAAGACCAUUCCUGAAGUAUUUGCAAUGCUGAAAUCAGAAGAGGUAGAAGUCAAAAAGGAACAUCAAGUGUUGAUGGUGAAUAAAACCACUAAGUUCAAGAAAGGCAAGGGUAAGAAGAACUUCAAGAAGGACGGCAAGGGAGUUGCCGCGCCCGGUAAGCAAGCUGCCGGGAAGAAGCCAAAGAAUGGACCCAAGCCCGAGACUGAGUGCUUUUAUUGCAAGGGAAGUGGUCACUGGAAGCGGAACUGCCCCAAAUAAUUAGCGGACAAGAAGGCUGGCAUCACGAAAGGUAUAUGUGAUAUACAUGUAAUUGAUGUGUACCUUACCAGUACUCGUAGUAGCUCCUGGGUAUUUGAUACCGGUGCAGUUGCUCACAUUUGUAACUCAAAGCAGGAGCUGCGGAAUAAGCGGAGACUGGCGAAGGACGAGGUGACGAUGCACGUCGGGAAUGGUUCCAAGGUCGAUGUGAUCGUCGUCGGCACACUACCUCUACAUUUACCUACGGGAUUAGUUUUAAACCUCAAUAAUUGUUAUUUAGUGCCAGCUUUGAGCAUGAACAUUAUAUCAGGAUCUCGUUUAAUUCAAGAUGGCUACUCAUUUAAAUCCGAGAAUAAUGGUUGUUCUAUUUAUAUGAGAGAUAUGUUUUAUGGUCAUGCUCCGAUGGUGAAUGGUUUAUUCUUAGUGAAUCUCGAGCGUAAUGCUACACAUAUUCAUAGUGUGAAUACCAAAAGAUGUAAGGUUGAUAAUGAUAGUCCCACAUACUUGUGGCACUGCCUCCUUGGCCACAUAGGUGUCAAACGCAUGAAGAAGCUCCAUGCAGAUGGACUUUUAGAGUCUCUUGAUUACGAAUCAUUUGACACGUGCGAACCAUGCCUCAUGGGUAAAAUGACCAAGACUCCGUUCUCAGGAACAAUGGAGCGAGCAACCAACUUAUUGGAAAUCAUACAUACUGAUGUGUGCGGUCCAAUGAGUGUUGAGGCUCGCGGUGGCUAUCGUUAUGUUCUCACCCUCACUGAUGACUUGAGUAGAUAUGGGUAUGUCUAUUUAAUGAAACACAAGUCGGAGUCCUUUGAAAAGUUCAAGGAAUUUCAGAGUGAGGUUGAGAAUCAACGUGACAGAAAAAUCAAGUUCUUGUGAUCAGAUCGUGGGGGAGAAUACUUGAGUCACGAAUUUGGCACGCACUUAAGAAAAUGUGGAAUCGUUUCACAACUCACGCCGCCUGGAACACCUCAGCGUAAUGGUGUGUCCGAACGUCGUAAUCGCACUCUAUUAGAUAUGGUGCGAUCUAUGAUGUCUCUUACCGAUUUACCGCUAUCAUUUUGAGGCUAUGCUUUAGAGACUGCCACAUUCACUUUAAAUAGGGCUCCGUCGAAAUCCGUUGAGACGACACCGUAUGAAUUAUGGUUUGGGAAGAAACCUAAGCUGUCGUUUCUAAAAGUUUGGGGAUGCGAUGCUUAUGUCAAGAAACUUCAACCUGAAAAGCUCGAACCCAAGUCGGAAAAAUGCGUCUUCAUAGGAUACCCUAAAGAAACUAUUGGGUAUACCUUCUACCUCAGAUCCGAAGGCAAGAUCUUUGUUGCCAAGAAUGGAUCCUUUCUAGAGGAAGAGUUUCUCUCUAAAGAAAUAAGUGGGAGGAAAGUAGAACUCGAUGAAGUAUUACCUCUUGAACCGGUAAGUGGUGCAGCUCAAGAAAAUGUUCCUCAGGUGCCUGCACCGACUAAAGAGGAAGUUAAUGAUGAUGAUCAUGAAACUUCAGGUCAAGUUGCUACUGAACUUCGUAGGUCCACAAGGACACGUUCCGCACCAGAGUGGUACGGCAACCCUGUCUUGGAAAUCAUGUUGUUAGACAACGGUGAACCUUCGAACUAUGAAGAAGCGAUGGCGGGCCCGAAUUCUGACAAAUGGCUGGAAGCCAUGAAAUCCGAGAUAGGAUCCAUGUAUGAAAACGAAGUAUGGACUUUGACUGACUUGCCCGUUGAUCGGCGAGCCAUAGAAAAUAAAUGGAUCUUUAAGAAGAAGACAGACGCGGAUGGUAAUGUGACCAUCUAUAAAGCUCGACUUGUCGCUAAGGGUUAUCGACAAGUUCAAGGGGUCGACUAUGAUGAGACUUUCUCACCCGUAGCAAAGCUGAAGUCCGUCCGAAUCAUGUUAGCAAUUGCCACAUUCUAUGAUUAUGAGAUAUGGCAAAUGGACGUCAAAACGGCAUUCCUUAAUGGUUUCCUUAAGGAAGAAUUGUAUAUGAUGCAGCCGGAAGGUUUUGUCGAUCCUAAGAAUGCUGACAAGGUGUGCAAGCUCCAACGCUCGAUUUAUGGGCUGGUGCAAGCAUCUCGGAGUUGGAACAUUCACUUUGAUGAGAUGAUCAAAGCGUUUGGGUUUAUGCAGACUUAUGGAGAAGCCUGCAUUUACAAGAAAGUGAGUGGGAGCUCUGUAGCAUUUCUCAUAUUGUAUGUGGAUGACAUACUGUUGAUGGGAAAUGAUAUAGAAUUCUUGGAAAGCAUAAAGGCCUAUUUGAACAAGUGUUUUUCAAUGAAGGACCUUGGAGAAGCUGCUUAUAUAUUAGGCAUCAAAAUCUAUAGAGAUAGAUCGAGACGCCUCAUUGGUCUUUCACAGAGUACGUACCUUGACAAGAUAUUGAAGAAGUUCAAAAUGGAUCAGUCAAAGAAGGGGUUCUUGCCUGUAUUGCAAGGUACGAGAUUGAGCUUGGCUCAAUGCCCGACCACGGCAGAAGAUAGAGAAAAGAUGAGUGUCGUCCCCUAUGCCUCGGCCAUAGGGUCUAUCAUGUAUGCUAUGCUGUGUACCAGACCUGAUGUAAACCUUGUCGUGAGUUUGGUAGGAAGGUACCAAAGUAAUCCCGGCAUGGAACACUAGACAUCGGUCAAAAAUAUCCUGAAGUACCUGAAAAGGACUAAGGAAAUGUUUCUCGUUUAUGGAGGUGACGAAGAGCUCGUCGUAAAGGGUUACGUUGAUGCUAGCUUCGACACAAAUCUGGAUGACUCUAAGUCACAAACCGGAUACGUGUAUAUUUUGAAUGGUGGGGCAGUAAGCUGGUGCAGUUGCAAGCAAAGCGUUGUGGCGGGAUCUACAUGUGAAGCGGAGUACAUGGCAGCCUCGGAGGCAGCACACGAAGCAGUCUGGGUGAAGGAGUUCGUUACCGACCUAGGAGUCAUACCCAAUGCGUCGGGCCCGAUGACUCUCUUCUGUGACAACACUGGAGCUAUUGCCCUUGCCAAGGAGCCCAGGUUUCACAGGAAGACCAGGCAUAUCAAGCGUCGCUUCAACUUCAUUCGUGAAAGUGUUCAAAAUGGAGACAUAGAGAUUUGUAAAGUACAUACGGACCUGAAUGUAGCAGAUCCAUUGACUAAACCUCUCCCUAGAGCAAAACAUGAUCAACACCAGAAUUCCAUGGGUGUUCGAUUCAUCACAAUGUAACUAGAUGAUUGACUCUAGUGCAAGUGGGAGACUGUUGGAAAUAUGCCCUAGAGGUAAUAAUAAAAUGAUUAUUAUAUUUCCUUGUUCAUGAUAAUUGUAUAUUAUUCAUGCUAUAAUUGUAUUAUUUGGAAAUCGUAAUACAUGUGUGAAUACAUAGACCACAAUGUAUCGCUAGUGAGCCUCUAGUUGACUAGCUCGUUGAUCAACAGAUAGUCAUGGUUUCCUGGCUAUGGACAUGGGGAUGUCAUUGAUAACGGGAUCACAUCAUUAGGAGAAUGAUGUGAUGGACAAGACCCAAACCUAAGCAUAGCACAAAGAUCGUGUAGUUCAUUUGCUGUAGCUUUUCUGGAUGUCAAGUAUCGUUUCCUUAGACCAUGAGAUUGUGCAACUCCCGGAUACCGUAGGAGUGCCUUGGGUGUGCCAAACGUCACAACGUAACUGGGUGACUAUAAAGGUACAUUACAGGUAUCUCCGAAAGUGUCUGUUGGGUUGGCAUGAAUCGAGACUGGGAUUUGUCACUCCGUAUGACGGAGAGGUAUCUCUGGGCCCACUCGGUAAUGCAUCAUCAUAAUGAGCUCAAUGUGAUCAAGUGGUUGAUCACGGGAUCAUGCAUUACGGUACGAGUAAAGUGACUUGCCGGUAACGAGACUGAACAAGGUAUUCGGAUACCGACGAUCGAGUCUUGGGCAAGUAACGUACCGAUUGACAAAGGGAAUCGAGGAGCAUGUGGGAGCCAACAUGGGUAUCCAGAUCCCGCUGUUGGUUAUUAACCGGAGAGUCGUCUCGGUCAUGUCUACAUGUCUCCCGAACCCGUAGGGUCUACACACUUAAGGUUCGAUGACGCUAGGGUUGUAGAGAUAUGAGUAUGCAGUAACCUGAAAGUUGUUCGGAGUCCCAGAUGAGAUCCCUGACGUCACGAGGAGUUCCAGAAUGGUCCGGAGGUGAAGAAUUAUAUAUAGGAAGUGCAGUUUCGGCCAUCGAGAGAGUUUCGGGGGUCAGCGGUAUUGUACCGGGACCACCGGAAGGGUCCCGGGGGUCCACCGGGUGGGGCCACCCAUUCCGGAGGGCCUCAUGUGCUGAAGUGGGGAGGGAACCAGCCCAUAGUGGGCUGGUGCGCCCCCCCUUGGGCCCCCCAUGCGCCUAGGGUUGGGAACCCUAGGGGAGGGGGCGCCUCCACUUGCCUUGGGGGGCACUCCACCCCCUUGGCCGCCGCCCCCCUAGGAGAUCCCAUCUCCUAGGGUCGGCGCACCCCCUAGGGGGCCUAUAUAAAGGGGGGAGGGAGGGCAGCCGCACCUGAAGCCUUGGCGCCUCCCUCUCCCCUGUUACACCUCUCCCUCUCGCAGAAACUCGGCGAAGCCCUGCUGCGAUCACUGCUGCAUCCACCACCAUGCCGUCGUGCUGCUGGAUUUCCGUCAACCUCUCCUUCCCCCUUGCUGGAUCAAGAAGGAGGAGACGUCAUCCACUCCGUACAUGUGUUGAACGCGGAGGUGCCGUCCGUUCGGCACUUGGUCAUCGGUGAUUUGGAUCACGGCGAGUACGACUCCAUCAUCCCCGUUCUCUUGAACGCUUCCGCUCCCGAUCUACAAGGGUAUGUAGAUGCACUCCCCUCUCGUUGCUAGAUGACUCCAUAGAUAGAUCUUGGUGAAACGUAGAGAAUUUUUUUUGUUUUCUGCAACGUUCCCCAACAGGAGGCCCCAUCCUCCUCCUCCUAUUGUCUGCUUGAACGUAGCGUCGAUGUUGAUCUUCACCACUUCUGUCGGAGGGGCGCUCCAUUUAGAUGGUGGGUGUAUGCCCGAUGGUUGUCGUUGCUAUCUGUCCGGGGUGAGUAUUUCCCAUUCCUUCGUCAGACUGAAGGAAAUAUGCCCUAGAGGCAAUAAUAAAGUUAUUAUUUAUUUCCUUAUAUCAUGAUAAAUGCUUAUUAUUCAUGCUAGAAUUGUAUUAACCAUAAACGUAAUACUUGUGUGAAUACAUAGACAAACAAAGUGUCACUAGUAUGCCUCUACUUGACUAGCUCGUUAAUCGAAGAUGGUUAUGUUUCCUAACCAUAGACAUGAGUUGUCAUUUGAUUAACGGGAUCACAUCAUUAGGAGAAUGAUGUGAUUGACAUGACCCAUUCCAUUAUCUUAGCACCCGAUCUUUUAGUAUGUUGUUAUUGCUUUCUUCAUAACUUAUACAUGUUCCUAUGACUAUGAGAUUAUGCAACUCCCGUUUACCGGAGGAACACUUUAUGUGCUACCAAACGUCACAACGUAACUGGGUGAUUAUAAAGGUGCUCUACAGGUGUCUCCAAAGGUACAUGUUGGGUUGGCAUAUUUCGAGAUUAGGAUUUGUCGCUCUGAUUGUCGGAGAGGUAUCUCUGGGCCCUCUCGGUAAUACACAUCACUUAAGCCUUGCAAGCAAUGCAACUAAUAAGUUAGUUGCAAAAUGAUGUAUUACGGAACGAGUAAAGAGACUUGCCGGUAACAAGAUUGAACUAGGUAUUGAGAUACCGACGAUUGAAUCUCGGGCAAGUAACAUACCGAUGACAAAGGGAACAACGUAUGUUGUUAUGCGGUCUGACCGAUAAAGAUCUUCAUAGAAUAUGUAGGAGCCAAUAUGAGCAUCCAGGUUCCGCUAUUGGUUAUUGACCGGAGACGUGUUUCGGUCAUGUCUACAUUGUUCUCGAACCCGUAGGGUCCGCACGCUUAACGUUAUGAUGACAGUUUCAUUAUGAGUUUAUAUAUUUUGAUGUACCGAAGGUUGUUUGAAGUCCCAGAUGUGAUCACGGACUUGAUGAGGAGUCUUGAAAUGGUCGAGAAGAUCGAUAUAUUGGACGACUAUAUUUGGACACCGGAAAGGUUCCGGGUAAGAUUGGGACAAUAUCGGAUCACCGAGAGGUUAUCGGAACCCCCCGGGAGGUAUAUGGGCCUUAUUGGGCCUUAGUGGAAAGGAGGGGAAAGGAGCAAGGGAGGGGGCGCGCCCCCUCCCAAGCCCAAUCCGAAUUGGGAGGGGGGUCGGCCCCCCCUUUCCUUCCUCCCUCCUUCCUCUUUCUUCCCUCUCCUACUCCUAAUAGGAAAAAGGGGAGUCCUACUCCCGAUGGGAGUUGUACUCCCCCCCUUGGGCGCGCCACCCUCCUUGGCCGGCCCCCUCCUCCACUCCUUUAUAUACGGGGGCAGGGGGCACUCCAGAGACACAACAAUUGAUCAUUGAUCUCUUAGCCGUGUGUGGUGCCCCCUCCACCAUAAUCCUCGAUAAUAUUGUAGCGGUUCUUAGGCGAAGCCCUACGACGGUAGAACAUCAAGAUCGUCACCACGCCGUCGUGCUGACGGAACUCAUCCCCGACACUUUGCUGGAUCGGAGUCCGGGGAUUGUCAUCGAGCUGAACGUGUGCAAAAACUCAGAGGUGCCGUAGUUUCGGUGCUUGAUCGGUCGGGCUGUGAAGACGUACGACUACAUCAACCGCGUUGUUAUAACGCUCCCGCUUCCGGUCUACGAGGGUACGUAGACAACACUCUCCCCUCUCGUUGCUGUGCAUCACCAUGAUCUUGCGUGUGCGUAGGAAUUUUUUUGAAAUUACUACGUUCCCCAACAGUGGCAUCCGAGCCUAGGUUUUAUGUGUUGAUGUUAUAUGCACGAGUAGAACACAAGUGAGUUGUGGGCGAUAUAAGUCAUAUUGCUUACCAGCAUGUCAUACUUUGGUUCGGCGGUAUUGUUGGAUGAAGCGGCCCGGACCGACAUUACGCGUACGCUUACGCAAGACUGGUUCUACCGACGUGCUUUGCACACAGGUGGCUGGCGGGUGUCAAUUUCUCCAACUUUAGUUGAACCGAGUAUGGCUACGCCCGGUCCUUGCGAAGGUUAAAACAACACCAACUUGACAAACUAUCGUUGUGAUUUUUGAUGCGUAGGUAAGAUUGGUUCUUGCUAAGCCCGUAGCAGCCAUGUAAAACUUGCAACAAACAAAGUAGAGGACGUCUAACUUGUUUUUGCAGGGCAUGUUGUGAUGUGAUAUGGUCAAGGCAUGAUGCUAAAUUUUAUUGUAUGAGAUGAUCAUGUUUUGUAACCAAGUUAUCGGCAACUGGCAGGAGCCAUAUGGUUGUCGCUUUAUUGUAUGCAAUGCAAUCACCCUGUAAUACUUUACUUUAUCACUAAAUGGUAGCGAUAGUCGUAGAAGCAUAAGAUUGGCAAGACAACAACGAUGCUACGAUGGAGAUCAAGGUGUCACACCGGUGACGAUGGUGAUCAUGACGAUGCUUCGGAGAUGGAGAUCACAAGCACAAGAUGAUGAUGGCCAUAUCAUAUCACUUAUAUUGAUUGCAUGUGAUGUUUAUCUUUUAUGCAUCUUAUCUUGCUUUGAUUGACGGUAGCAUUAUAAGAUGAUCUGUCACUAAAUUUCAAGAUAAAAGUGUUCUCCCUGAGUAUGCACCAUUGCCAAAGUUCGUCGUGCCCAGACACCAUGUGAUGAUUGGGUGUGAUAAGCUCUACGUCCAUCUACAACGGGUGCAAGCCAGUUUUGCACAUGCAAAAUACUCAGGUUAAACUUGACGAGCCUAGCAUAUGCAGAUAUGGCCUCGGAACACUGAGACCGAAAGGUCGAGCGUGAAUCAUAUAGUAGAUAUGAUCAACAUAGUGAUGUUCACCAUUGAAAACUACUCCAUUUCACGUGAUGAUCGGUUAUGGUUUAGUUGAUUUGGAUCACGUGACCACUUAGAAGAUUAGAGGGAUGUCUUUCUAAGUGGGAGUUCUUAAGUAAUAUGAUUAAUUGAACUUAAAUUUAUUAUGAACUUAGUACCUGAUAGUAUCUUGCUUGUUUAUGUUUGACUGUAGAUAGAUGGCCCGUGUUGUUGUUCUGUUGAAUUUUAAUGCGUUCCUUGAGAAAGCAAAGUUGAAAGAUGAUGGUAGCAAUUAUACGGACUGGGUCCGUAACUUGAGGAUUAUCCUCAUUGCUGCACAGAAGAAUUACGUCCUGGAAGCACCGCUGGGUGCCAAGUCUGCUGCUAAUGCAACUGACGACGUUAAGAACGUCUGGCAGAGCAAAGCUGAUGACUACUCGAUAGUUCAAUGUGCCAUGCUUUAUGGCUUAGAACCGGGUCUUCAACGAUGUUUUGAACGUCAUGGAGCAUAUGAGAUGUUCCAGGAGUUGAAGCUAAUAUUUCAAGCAAAUGCCUGGAUUGAGAGAUAUGAAGUCUCCAAUAAGUUCUAUAGCUGCAAGAUGGAGGAGAACAGUUCUGUCAGUGAGCAUAUACUCAAAAUUUCCGGGUAUAAUAAUCACUUGAUUCAACUGGGAGUUAAUCUUCUGGAUGAUUGCGUCAUUGACAAAAUUCUCCAAUCACUUCCACCUAGCUACAAGAGCUUCGUGAUGAACUAUAAUAUGCAAGGGAUGGAUAAGACAAUUCCCGAGCUCUUCGCAAUGCUAAAAGCUGCGGAGGUAGAAAUCAAGAAGGAGCAUCAAGUGUUGAUGGUCAACAAGACCACUAGUUUCAAGAAAAAGGGCAAGGGGUAGAAGAAGGGGAACUUCAAGAAGAACAGCAAGCAAGUUGCUGCUCAGGAGAAGAAACCCAAGUCUGGACCUAAGCCUGAAACUGAGUGCUUCUACUGCAAGCAGACUGGUCACUGGAAGCGGAACUGCCCCAAGUAUUUGGUGGAUAAGAAGGAUGGCAAGGUGAACAAAGGUAUAUGUGAUAUACAUGUUAUUGAUGUGUACCUUACUAGAGUUCGCAGUAGCACCUGGGUAUUUGAUACUGGUUCUGUUGCUAAUAUUUGCAACUCGAAACAGGGACUACGGAUUAAGCGAACACUGGCGAAGGACAAGGUGACGAUGCGCGUGGGAAAUGGUUCCAAAGUCGAUGUGAUCGCGGUCGGCACGCUACCUCUACAUCUACCAUCGGGAUUAGUAUUAGACCUAAAUAAUUGUUAUUUGGUGCCAGCAUUGAGCAUGAACAUUAUAUAUGAAUCUUGUUUGAUGCGAGACGGUUAUUCAUUUAAAUCAGAGAAUAAUGGUUGUUCUAUUUAUAUGAGUAAUAUCUUUUAUGGUCAUGCACCCUUGAAGAGUGGUCUAUUUUUGAUGAAUCUCGAUAGUAGUGAUACACAUAUUCAUAAUGUUGAAGCCAAAAGAUGCAGAGUUGAUAAUGAUAGUGCAACUUAUUUGUGGCACUGUCGUUUAGGUCAUAUCGGUGUAAAGCGCAUGAAGAAACUCCAUACUGAUGGACUUUUGGAACCACUUGAUUAUGAAUCACUUGGUACUUGCGAACCGUGCCUCAUGGGCAAGAUGACUAAAACGCCGUUCUCCGGUACUAUGGAGAGAGCAACAGAUUUGUUGGAAAUCAUACAUACAGAUGUAUGUGGUCCAAUGAAUGUUGAAGCUCGUGGCGGAUAUCGUUAUUUUCUCACCUUCACAGAUGAUUUAAGCAGAUAUGGGUAUAUCUACUUAAUGAAACAUAAGUCUGAAACAUUUGAAAAGUUCAAAGAAUUUCAGAGUGAAGUUGAAAAUCAUCGUAACAAGAAAAUAAAGUUUCUACGAUCUGAUCGUGGAGGAGAAUAUCUGAGUUACGAGUUUGGUUUAUAUUUGAAACAAUGCGGAAUAGUUUCGCAACUCACGCCACCCGGAACACCACAGCGUAAUGGUGUGUCCGAACGUCGUAAUCAUACUUUACUUGAUAUGGUGCGAUCUAUGAUGUCUCUUACAGAUUUACCACUAUCGUUUUGGGGUUAUGCUUUAGAGACGGCCGCAUUCACGUUAAAUAGGGCACCAUCAAAAUCCGUUGAGACGACGCCUUAUGAACUAUGGUUUGGCAAGAAACCAAAGUUGUCUUUUCUGAAAGUUUGGGGCUGCGAUGCUUAUGUGAAAAAGCUUCAACUUGAUAAGCUCAAACCCAAAUCGGAGAAAUGUGUCUUCAUAGGAUACCCGAAGGAGACUGUUGGGUACACCUUCUAUCACAGAUUCGAAGGCAAGACAUUUGUUGCUAAGAAUGGAUCCUUUCUAGAGAAGGAGUUUCUCUCGAAAGAUGUGAGUGGGAGGAAAGUAGAACUUGAUGAGGUAACUGUACCUGCUCCCUUAUUGGAAAGUAGUACAUCACAGAAACCGGUUUCUAUGACACCUACACCAAUUAGUGAGGAAGCUAAUGAUGAUGAUCAUGAAACUUCAGAACAAGUUACUACUGAACCUCCUAGAUCAACCAGAGUAAGAUCCGCACCAGAGUGGUACGGUAAUCCUGUUCUAGAAGUCAUGCUACUAGAUCAUGAUGAACCUAUGAACUAUGAAGAAGCAAUGGUGAGCCCAGAUUCCGCAAAAUGGCUUGAAGCCAUGAAAUCUGAGAUAGGAUCCAUGUAUGAGAACAAAGUGUGGACUUUGGUUGACUUGCCCAAUGAUCGGCAAGCAAUUGAAAAUAAAUGGAUCUUCAAGAAGAAGACUAACGCUGACGGUAAUGUUACUGUCUACAAAGCUCGAAUUGUCGCAGAAGGUUUUCGACAAGUUCAAGGAAUUGACUACGAUGAGACCUUCUCACCCGUAGCGAUGCUUAAGUCUGUCCGAAUCAUGUUAGCAAUUGCCGCAUUUUAUGAUUAUGAAAUUUGGCAGAUGGAUGUCAAAACUGCAUUCCUGAAUGGUUUUCUGGAAGAAGAGUUGUAUAUGAUGCAGCCGGAAGGUUUUGUCGAUCCAAAAGGAGCUAACAAAGUGUGCAAGCUCCAGCGAUCCAUUUAUGGACUGGUGCAAACAUCUCGGAGUUGGAAUAAACGCUUUGAUAGUGUGAUCAAAGCAUUUGGUUUUGUACAGACUUUUGGAGAAGCCUGUAUUUACAAGAAAGUGAGUGGGAGCUCUGUAGCAUUUCUGAUAUUAUAUGUGGAUGACAUAUUGCUAAUCGGAAAUGAUAUAUAAUUUCUGGAUAACAUAAAGGGAUACUUGAAUAAGAGUUUUUCAAUGAAAGACCUCGGUGAAGCUGUUUACAUAUUGGGCAUUAAGAUCUAUAGAGAUAGAUCAAGACGCUUAAUUGGACUUUCACAAAGCACAUACCUUGACAAAGUUUUGAAGAAGUUCAAAAUGGAUCAAGCAAAGAAAGGAUUCUUGCCUGUGUUACAAGAUGUGAAGUUGAGUAAGACUCAAUGCCCGACCACUGCAGAAGAUAGAGAGAAAAUGAAAGAUGUUCCCUAUGCUUCAGCCAUAGGCUCUAUCAUGUAUGCAAUGCUGUGUACCAGACAUGAUGUGUGCCUUGCUAUAAGUCUAGCAGGGAGGUACCAAAGUAAUCCAGGAGUGGAUCACUGGACAGCGGUCAAGAACAUCCUGAAAUACCUGAAAAGGACUAAGGAUAUGUUUCUCAUAUAUGGAGGUGACAAAGAGCUCAUCGUAAAUGGUUACGUUGAUGCAAGCUUUGACACUGAUCCGGACGACUCUAAAUCGCAAACCGGAUACGUAUUUACAUUAAACGAUGGAGCUGUCAGUUAGUGCAGUUCUAAACAAAGCAUCGUGGCAGGAUCUACAUGUGAAGCGGAGUACAUAGCUGCUUCGGAAGCAGCAAACGAAGGAGUCUGGAUGAAGGAGUUCAUAUCUGAUCUAGGUGUCAUACCUAGUGCAUCGGGUUCAAUGAAAAUCUUUUGUGACAAUACUGGUGCAAUUGCCUUGGCAAAGGAAUCCAGAUUUCACAAGAGAACCAAGCACAUCAAGAGACGCUUCAAUUCCAUCCGGAAUCUAGUCCAGGCGGGAGACAUAGAGAUUUGCAAGAUACAUACGGAUCUGAAUGUAGCAGACCCAUUGACUAAGCCUUUUCCACGAGCAAAACAUGAUCAGCACCAAGGCUCCAUGGGUGUUAGAAUCAUUACUGUGUAAUCUAGAUUAUUGACUCUAGUGCAAGUGGGAGACUGAAGGAAAUAUGCCCUAGAGGCAAUAAUAAAGUUAUUAUUUAUUUCCUUAUAUCAUGAUAAAUGUUUAUUAUUCAUGCUAGAAUUGUAUUAACCGGAAACGUAAUACUUGUGUGAAUACAUAGACAAACAAAGUGUCAUUAGUAUGCCUCUACUUGACUAGCUCGUUAAUCGAAGAUGGUUAUAUUUCCUAACCAUAGACAUGAGUUGUCAUUUGAUUAACGGGAUCACAUCAUUAGGAGAAUGAGGUGAUUGACAUGACCCAUUCCAUUAGCUUAGCACCCGAUCGUUUAAUAUGUUGCUAUUGCUUUCUUCGUGACUUAUACAUGUUCCUAUGACUAUGAGAUUAUGCAACUCCCGUUUAUCGGAGGAACACUUUGUGUGCUACCAAACGUCACAACGUAACUGGGUGAUUAUAAAGGUGCUUUACAGGUGUCUCCAAAGGUACAUGUUGGGUUGGCGUAUUUCGAGAUUAGGAUUUGUCGCUCCAAUUGUCGGAGAGGUAUCUCUGGCCCCUCUCGGUAAUACACAUCACUUAAGCCUUGCAAGCAAUGCAACUAAUAAGUUAGUUGCAAAAUGAUGUAUUACGGAACGAGUAAAGAGACUUGCCGAUAACGAGAUUGAACUAGGUAUUGAGAUACCGACGAUCGAAUCUCGGGCAAGUAACAUACCGAUGACAAAGGGAAUAACGUAUGUUGUUAUGCGGUCUGACCGAUAAAGAUCUUCGUAGAAUAUGUAGGAGCCAAUAUGAGCAUCCAGGUUCCGCUAUUGGUUAUUAACCGGAGACGUGUUUCGGUCAUGUCUACAUUGUUCUCGAACCCGUAGGGUCCGCACGCUUAACGUUACGAUGACAGUUUCAUUAUGAUUUUAUAUAUUUUGAUGUACCGAAGGUUGUUCGGAGUCCCGGAUGUGAUCAUGGACUUGACGAGGAGUCUCGAAAUGGUCGAGACAUAAAGAUCGAUAUAUUGGACGACUAUAUUUGGACACCGGAAAGGUUCCAGGUAAGAUUGGGACAAUACCGGAUCACCGAGAGAUUAUCGGAACCCCCCGGGAGGUAUAUGGGCCUUAUUGGGCCUUAGUGGAAAGGAGGGGAAAGGAGCAAGGGAGGGGGCGUGCCCCCCAAGCCCAAUCCGAAUUGGGAGGGGGGGCGGCCCCCCCUUUCCUUCCUCCCUCCUUCCUCUUUCUUCCCUCUCCUACUCCUAAUAGGAAAAAGGGGAGUCCUACUCCCGAUGGGAGUUGGACUCCCCCCCUUGGGUGCGCCACCCUCCUUGGCCGGCCCCCUCCUCCACUCCUUUAUAUACGGGGGCAGGGGGGCAUCCCAGAGACACAACAAUUGAUCAUUGAUCUCUUAGCCGUGUGCGGUGCCCCCCUCCAUCAUAAUCCUCGGUAAUAUUGUAGCGGUGCUUAGGCGAAGCUCUGCGACGGUAGAACAUCAAGAUCGUCACAACGCCGUCGUGCUGACGGAACUCAUCCCCGACACUUUGCUGGAUCGGAGUUCGGGGAUCGUCAUCGAGCUGAACGUGUGCAAAAACUCCGAGGUGCCGUAGUUUCGAUGCUUGAUCGCUCGGGCCGUGAAGACGUACGACUACAUCAACCGCGUUGUUAUAACGCUUCCGUUUCCGAUCUACGAGGGUACGUAGACAACACUCUCCCCUCUCGUUGUUGUGCAUCACCAUGAUCUUGCGUGUGCGUAGGAUUUUUUUUGAAAUUACUACGUUCCCCAACACAGACAUCCCACACGCACACUGAAAGCCUCCGGACUCAGUCGCUUCUUCUGGUGGUUGGCAUUGUUGCGCUCCGCCCACCAGGACCAUAAAAGGCAGAUCGUGCGCAUCUUGAUCUCGAUGUGCAGCUUGAAAACGGCCACGAGCAAGUCCGUAGGGGUUGCACACAGCAGGAGCCGCUGUCUAGUGUACUCAAGACCACAGUGUCGCCACAUGCACUUAACUUCCUUGCAACGCAGAAAGAGAUGGCUCCCAUCCUCAGCUUGUCGACAGCAUAGAUGGCAUAGCACAUCCAGCUCCACCCCGAUUCGUUCGACAUUACGCCAGAGGGGGUGGCUAUUAUGGGCAAGUCUCCACAGAAAAUGAUGAACUCUAGGGGGGCACGGCGGCUUCCAUAGUGCCUGCCAAAACUUUCAUUUAUCCUCUAGGCCGGAUGAGUUCUCCCCCCUUUGUUGUUUUUUCUGCUGGUCUAACAGGUGCACAUAAACCCUGUAGGCUGAUCUCACCGAGAAGAGACCCUUGCUGUCAAAAUACUAGGCCACAAAGUCCUCAAAGCAGUCGCGAAUGGGAUACUCAGGAUUGUCCUUGCAUCUUCCUGACAGAAGGUUUGCUGAACCAGUUCUCCAUCCCACGUACUUGUAGCCGGGUCAAUUAACUCCGAAACCCUCGUUAGCAGAUGGGCACCUUGGAGGGUCCUUUGUCUUCUUGUGUCAUUUGAGGGCAGCCAUGGAUCCCGUCAAAUAUUUGAUCAUAUCACCUGUGCCAACCCUCCAAAUCAUGCCAGCCUUAAUGACACAAAUACCUUGGAGCAGACUACGCCAAACAUAGCUCAUCCUUGGUGUUGCUACAGAAUUCAGUACCUCGCCGUGUGGGAAGUAUUUAGCUUGUAGGACUCGUCCACACAGGGACUCCGGACACUGGAUUAGCCGCCAGACCUGUCGUGAUAGCAUUUGCAAUGUUAAAAGCAUGCAAGUCACGAAAGCCGAGGCCUCCCUGCUCCUUCGGCAGACACAUUCUUUCCCACCCCACCCAGUGGUGUCACUCCUCCUCAUCUUGAUUUGCCCAAUGGUGUAGAAUUAUCGUUGGUAGGACAGAGAGCUCCCUAUACGUCGCCCGUCAGCGUCCGUUCAUCGCGGCUUCGCUGAAGCGGCACGCAAAUAGGCCGGCCCAAUUAUCACAGGUCGAGCGAAAAAAAAACGGAAAAAGGAAUCGCACGCGUGGAUCGAACUCCUGACAACAUUCAAGAUUCUAGCGAGCCAAGCCACCCGAGCUAGCAACCUACAACGGUGUUAACGCAGCGCCAGUCUUAAAGUAUGCAAGACGGCGGCAAAAUCCUUUUUUCGAAAGAAAUCAUUUUUUUAAAUAUACGUUGAACAAAAUUUAAAAGAAAGUGAACCUUUUUUUGGAAAAAAACACUGAAUAAAUUUCAAAUACACAAAUCAACAUUUGUAGUAUGCGUCAAACAAUUUUUUAAUGUAUGAUGACCACAUUUUAAAUAUGCAAUGAACACUUUUAAAUAUAUGCUGAACAAUUUCAUAACAUACGGUGAACAUUUGUGUAAUACACGAUGAACAUUUUUAUAAUGCUAGGUGAACUAUUACAUAAUAUAUGAUGAACAUUUUCUUAAUAUGACGAAGAUUUUCGUAAUACACAGUGAACUUUUAUAUAAUAAAUAAAGAGAAGAAAAACAGAAACAGAAAAUAAAAAAGGAAACAUAAAAGAAAAAAAAUAAAAGAAAAAGGAGCCAAAAAAUAAAAAACCGGAACAAAACAACUGAAAAACGGACAAAAAGAGUGAAAAAACUGGAAGCAAAAAACCAUGUAAGAAAACGAAAAAAAAACCCCGCAAAGAACAGAGACGGAAGUAGCAGCGAACGAAUCCCGUACGUGGGCCGGCCCAAUCGGAGGCUUGCCUCAGCGAAACCACAACGAUCUUGACGCUAACGAGCGUCCAAUAGGGUUUGCCGGUAGGACACUGCCCAUCUUGUAAUCAAACUGACAAGCUGCCACCAUACACGGACUCGCUAUUUCCAUGCAGGCACAGCGAGGCGUCUAGUUUUUCCGAUCGGGGCAGGGGCAGGGCACGUGCAUGCAGUGUGCUGGAGCCGUAGAUGGCACUGGCAGUGGCAAGCAAGCUGGCACGACUCGGCCCAGAAUGGCAACGAACUGAGGCCCGGGGUCGGGGUGGCCCAGAAUGCCAGCGGAACACGUACGUAGUUACGGCGACGCCGAUGCUGUGACAUCUUUCGUUCUUCGUUUUCCUGCAAGAAACCUUGGAACUCAGAGAUCGCGUGAUCCUUCUUCUGAAGCAGUAACGCAAAAAGAUCGAUCACAUCACAUCAGACGGUUGGGCUGGAGGCAGGUGGAGGUGGUGCGUGCGGCCAGGCCAAACGAGCUCGAUCGGAGGCGCACAAGCGCCACGAGCGCGCACAGUGAACGUUGCAGAGGGUUGGGAGUUGGGAAUUUUCUAGCGACACUCAGCGACAUGACAGUAUAAUCAGCUUAAAUUCCAUCAUGUCGUCCCGGCUGUCCCCGUUCCUAUCUUGAGCUUGAGGAGACCCCCUUUUAUUUUGCGCGGUUGCUUGAGGAGACCCCUGCCCUCUAAGCAUGACACUGACAUGUGCAGAGCAGACAUCCCCGUAACCCGAGCCUGAACUUUUCAUGUGUUCGCUCAAGUUCCAGACCGCAAAUUCAAUGAACUCUUAUCCGAAGAAAAGAAUCGACCCCGGUCGGUCCACCCUGGCUGGGCCGCGGCUGCAUUGAAACCCAAUCAACUGUACGUUAAUCAAAGCAAGCUAGCUGCCCAACGGCUACUUGCCGAGUUUUUUCCCCUAGAGGCGAUCUAGGGUUCCACCAAACCUCCGGCGGCGACGGCGGAGUCCACGUAAAAACUCGCGGCGGCCGAGUCUAUCGGGCGCCGGGGGACAUCAACAUCAUGAGCACGAGCAGGAGGAACUUUUGCAUGGCGAAUCCACCGUCAACGGUGGUGCUGGGGGAGGUAGAAAAGAUGAAGGCGACGGUAAGCGGUGAAGGCGAUCCAUUGGACGGAAGGCAGAGCAGAGAAGUUAGGAAGGCAAUAGCAGGAGAGACCGGCAAGGGCACAUCGGUGGGAGGAGAAGGAGGUAGCGGGAGUAGGGGUGGAGAAGAGGUAGAGGAGGAAGAUGACGAGUGGGAUUACUACGGCCCAGAACCGGAUCUGGAGGACAAAUUUGCAGGUAUGAAGCUACAUGGAGAGGAGGAGGAUGAUCUUGAUUUAUCAGGGGAGGUAGAGGAAUUGAUCCAGGGGGUGAGGUGGCUAGGACUGUUUCGUGUCCAUACAACCAAACCUUUCAGUCAUGCCGCGCUAUUGAGGCAGAUGAGGAACGCCUGGGCGGCUGCGCAGGGUGUCACUUUCAAUGUUAAAGGACCCAAUCUUUUUCUGUUCCAGUGUCAUUGUCUCGGUGAUUGGAAGCGGAUCAUGGACUGGGGGCCUUGGAUCUUUCGUUAUGCUCCGGUAAUACUGCAGGAAUAUGAUGGCUUCACUGAUGUUGCAGAAUACAAACUCAAUAAAGUUCCAGUAUGGGCUCGAAUCAAGGGUUUGCCAGAUGGCUUGACAGCUAAGAAGGAGCUCGCAGAAAAGGUAGCCGCUAAGGUUGGGGAGCCACCCUUUACAGUGAUAGUCAAUGAGGGUAAGAUAAACCCUUCUAGUACAUUGAGAGUACGAGUUUUUGUGGAUGUUGACAAACCACUGGUGCGUUUUGUUCCGAUAACACUUCAGAAGAGGAAGAAAUACCCUGUUUUUUAUGAGAGGCUGCCGGACUUUUGUUACUACUGUGGUUUGAUGGGGCACGCGGUGGAGGAGUGCGGGGAUGGAAUUCAUGAUCCCCGCACAUGUGAAUGGGGAGAUUGGCUUCUGUGGAGCUCGGACCUCCCGGCUUACACUACAGGAGGGAGAGGGGGUACGGAAGGGAGGGGUAGAGGAGGUAGGACAGGAGGAGUAGGUGGAAGAGGAGGGAGAGGAGGCAGACAGGGUAGAGGAGAUAGGGAGGGAGAAAGAAGGAAUUUUGCAGAGGAGGAUGGAGGUUCUCAGACUAUGGACUACACACACCAGGUCAGCUCAGAAGAGAAUCAGAACGCCCGCAAAAGACUAGUGCGUGCUGACGGGUCAGUCAAUGUGAGAGGACAAAGUUUCCCUAACCUCUCGGGGAAGGUGGCCGACACGGUGUUGUAUUUGGAGAGCAAAGGAGAGGAGACAAACCAGGUGACAUCUACAACACCAGGCAGAAACCCUAUUGUGAAGAGGAGGAAGCAGGAUGGCAGGCGCCAGGAUGAGGAUGAGGUACUCGAAGAUAAGGCGGUCUCCCACGAGGAGGACCGCCGAGCCCAAUGAAACUGUUGUGCUGGAAUUGUCGCGAGAUUGGCGACCCCGCGACGGUUAGAGAGCUCCGCGAUCUCGUGGAGGCAUGUGCGCCGACGGUGCUUUGUAUUGUGGAGACGCAGUUGGCAAAAUACCACGUGGAAGGAUUGGCGGGUACUUUAGGGUUUUCUGGACGUUUUGGAGUAGAUAGUAGUGGUAGAAGUGGAGGUUUAUGCUUGUUCUGGAAAAAUAAUGUUGAUCUUGAAAUAAAGACCUUUUCUCGCUAUCAUAUUGAUUCAGUGAUGAAAAUGCCUGGAUUGGAACCAUGACGUUUGUCUUGUUUUUAUGGUGCAGCAGAUAGGAGUAUGAGGUACAAGAUGUGGGAUACUAUGAAAAUUUUACGGGGGGAGAAUGCACUACCAUGGGUGUGCAUGGGAGAUUUUAAUGAAAUUUUAAGGCCAGAAGAGCAAAUGGGGCCAAAUGAGCGUGAUAGUGCUCAGAUAGAAGGUUUCAGAGAAGCAGUUGAUGUUUGUGAGUUAACGGACCUUGGCUACAAAGGGUUGGAUUGGACUUUUGAGAAGAGAGUUGUGGGGGGAGAAUACUGCAGGGUAAGACUUGAUCGAGUGCUGGCUACGGCCAGUUGGUCAGCGUUAUUCCCGUAUGCCACGGUUGAACACCUAACUACAGCAAAGUCGGAUCAUAGCCCAAUAUUAUUGAUCAAUGCGAUGGAGGCAAGCAACCAGAGAAUUGCCCUUAAAAGGCCUUUUCGUUAUGAAUGCAUGUGGGAGAGCGAUGACAGGUUCGUGGAUACACUUCAGGAGGCAUGGGGUCGGGAUCAGCCGGCGGAAACUAUGGCGCAGCUUGCGGCCAAGUUGUCUUCGGUUGGGACCGCCCUGAAACAAUGGGGCAAGCUGUCGUUUGGCUCAGUCAGACAGGAGUUGCGCAGGCUACGACAACAGUUGACUCAGCUUAGAGAGGACCCGACGCGUGUUGGGCCGGGAGUGGAAGAGAAAAGGGUCUUGGAUCGGAUUGUUGAGUUGUCCUUUCGAGAGGAGACUAUGAUGAGGCAGAGAUCUCGCAUGGACUGGUUAUCUGCGGGGGACAGUAAUACGCAAUACUUUCAGAGGAAAGCGAGUGCUAGAAGGGCAAAGAACACCAUAACACAGUUAUAGAAAAUAGAUGGAACGACCACCUCUGAUCCGGAGGAGAUGGCUGAGAUGACGAAUGAAUUUUAUGAGAACUUAUACAAAUCAGAAGGAUGUAUAGGCAUAGAAGAAGUUCUGUCACAUAUUCCGGUAAGAGUUGAUGGUAACAUGAAUGCAAGGCUCAAUGCGCAGUAUACAAAAGAGGAGGUUAAAGAGGCAUUUUUUCAGAUGUUCCCAACAAAAGCAUCAGGGCCGAAUGGUUUUCUGGCGCAUUUCUUUCAGAGACAUUGGGAACUAUGUGGUGAUGAGGUAACUGGCGUGAUUAUAAGAUUGCUCAAUGGAGAGGACUCACCGGAGGAUAUCAACCGCACGGUCAUCGUUCUUAUUCCCAAGAUAGCUAGUCCAAAACUGAUAGCAUAAUUUCGGCCUAUAAGUCUUUGCAACGUGAUCUAUAAGAUUGCGUCAAAGGUCUUAGCAAGUAGGCUGAAGAUUAUUCUCCCCGAGGUAAUUUCUGAGGAGCAGUCCGCUUUUGUGCCUGGGCGUCUUAUCACGGAUAACUUCAUAACAGCUUAUGAGUGCCUACAUUACAUGAAGACCAGGAGAGUGAAGGCAAACCAUUUUGUGGCUCUGAAGUUGGAUAUGAUGAAAGCAUAUGAUAGACUUGAGUGGCAUUAUUUGAAAGCAGUGAUGCUCAAGAUGGGUAUCAGCCCACGUUUUACAGAUAUGGUUAUGAGGUGCAUGUCUUCAGUCACUUUCUCAGUUCUUUUUAAUGGUGGCAGUCUUCAUGAUUUCAGGCCAACAAGGGGGAUGAGGCAAGGGGAUCCCAUAUCCCCGUACCUAUUCUUGUUAGCCGCGGAAGGCCUCUCGUGUCUGUUAAAAGCCCAAGGGGUGGGGGUCCGAGGACUGUCAGUGGCGAAUAAUGCCCCAGCAAUCAACCAUUUACUUUUUGCAGAUGACAGUCUCUUGUUCUUUGAAGCUGAUAGUGAGAGUGCUACACAAGUGCGAGAUGUGUUGAGAAUGUAUUGUGAUGCUUCGGGACAGCGUAUCAACACUGGCAAAUCCUUUAUAUUUUUCAGUAAGGGUGUGCCAGAGGCCACACGAGAUGAGGUAAAAGCAGUUCUAGAUGUCCAUAAUGAAUCACUGUUAGAGAAGUAUCUUGGACUGCCAACUGAUGUAGGUAAAAACAAGGAGGGAAGCUUUAAAUAUUUGAAAGACAGAAUAUGGAAGCAUAUCCAAGGUUGGAUGAAAAAAAUGCUUAUCUGCAGGGGAAAAGAGGUGCUUAUAAAAUCCGUAGCGCAAUCUAUUCCGACCUACUCAAUGUCGUGUUUCAAGUUGCCCCGAGGUCUGAUUGAACACUUAGACGGUCUUCUGCGGAAGUUUUGGUGGGGCAGUAAAGGGGGUCAGAGGAAACCAGCAUGGGUUUCUUGGAAGACAAUGUGCAAACCAAAAAACAUGGGUGGAAUUGGUUUCCGGGACGUCGAGCUGUUUAAUUUGGCUUUAUUGGCUCGGCAAGUGUGGCGACUUCUGCAGGAUCCCGAAUCAUUGAGUGCUCGAGUUCUACGAGCGCGUUACUUCCCGGAAGGCAACAUACUUGACGCUGCACUGGGCGCACAUCCCUCCCAAGUAUGGCGAUCGUUGAUGGAAGGAAAAGAAUUGCUUGUUCUAGGGUUAAUAAAGAGGUUGGAUCGGGGACAGACACCCGCAUAUGGGAGGACAACUGGUUGCCGUGUGACUAUAAGCUGAAGCCCAUAUGCACUAUAUCACCUGAUCCACCACAGCUUGUAUCAGAGUUAAUUGAUGCUACAACGCGCACAUGGAACAAGCAGGUUUUGAUCGAGCAUUUCGUCAGCCUGGAUGUGGAUAUCAUAAUGAAUAUACCACUAAGUCUCCGGGUGCAACGUGAUUUCUGGGCAUGGCACUAUGAUCGGAGAGGGGGUUUUACCGUAAGGUCAGCAUACAAGAUGAUUAGUGCCAUCAAACAUCAGAGAGAGGAUUGGUUGGAACACAGGACGAGCCACUCAAAUGUGGAAGCCGAAAGUAAGGCUUGGUCUCAGCUAUGGAAAGUUAAAGUCCCAUCUAAAGUAAGGGUAUUUGUAUGGAGACUAGCUCACAUGUCGUCACCGACUGGUACAGUGCGCAAUGAGCGAAACAUGGCCACUUCUCCAGCUUGCGGGCUCUGCGAUGAGGAGGAGGAUUCAUGGCGUCAUUCCUUGUUUGAAUGCCGGAUGGCACGAUGUGUUUGGGCGUUGGGAGAUGAGGAGACCCUGGAGCAUGUGAUAUCAAACAGGAGUGAAGAUGCAAGGCUUUGGUUGUUUUGGCUAUUUGACACGUUGAACCAACAGGACCUUGCCAGGGUGCUCAUCACCAUGCGGGCGAUCUGGUGGGCUAGGAGGAGAGCAAUUCAUGAUGACGAAUUCCAAAGCCCUCUUUCUACAAUGUGUUUUGUGAACAGAUACUUGGAGGACCCGGAGAUCGCUGCCAAACGCGCUCCAACGCGUCCCUCGCAGCCGGUGGUACAAAGGCAGCGCAGGUGGAUCCCGCCGGGAGAGGAAGCAAUGAAGAUCAACGUAGACGGGGCUAUCUCUCGCCAAGGAGGAACGGGUGCAUCGGCUGUUGUGUGUCGGGACAAAGAAGGCAACUACCUGGGAUCUUCGGCGGUGGUUUUUGAAGGAUUAGUCGACGCCCCAAGCUUGGAAGCUCAAGCGUGCAACGAGGCGCUUGCCCUUGCUCAAGAUCUAUUGCUGACACAUGUGAUAAUAGCCUCGGAUUGCAUGCAGGUUGUUUCGGAUAUUAAGGGGGCGACGUCAUCUUCCUCUUAUGCUUUUGCAAUUGAAGAGAUUAAAGCUAGAGUUACAGACUUUGUAGGAGUUAAAUUUCGUUUUGAAAGUAGGGAGGCAAACUUUGAGGCCCAUGCCUGGGCAAAGGCAGCCUCGUCUCUCCCUACGGGUCGCCAUCUGUGGCUAGGGAACCCGCCAGACAUUAUAUGUAUUCCUCCGGUUUUAGCUGAUCAAUAAAAUCCCUAGUUACACCUCAAAAAAGCUGGCUGCCCAAUGUUACAUGGAUCAAUCUAGAGUGGCCCAAAAUGACGCCGUCGAGAGUGCGGUGUCAAGGGCCGUUACAGCGUUUGUAUCUGUCUAUCUUAAGUGACGCGUGGGUGCAGUGCAGUGGAUGAGAGCGGCAUGGCAACAGGUAGAGUGGUUGAAAAGCGUCUGAAAGUCGGUUCUGAACCAGGCCGGACCGGAGACCACUCAACAACGCACCAUUUUAGCUGUCAGUGGCCGCAGUCGAAACUAGAGUUGAGUAUGGAUGGAUGCAGCGUAGCCAUCGCGUGCCUGAAGCUGCACGGAUGCAUAUGUGCGGUAUGUGUGCAUAGGUUCCAGCAAUAAGCUUGUGCACGUACCGUACACGUAGAUGAAAACUUGCGGAUUGCAAGGAUCAACAACGGGGGUGUAGCUCAUAUGGUAGAGCGCUCGCUUCGCAUGCGAGAGGCACGGGGUUCGAUUCCCCGCACCUCCACCUUUUUUUUUUUAUCAAAUCCCGUUAUAUUCAAUAUGUUUUUGCUAACUUGAAUAACAAAUCAUCGUACCCUUUUUUUUUGCGGGAAUCAUCGUACCGAGAGGGUUCCCAUCCCAAGGUCCGCCACCGGAGCACGGACGCGUAUUCUGCAGCGCAACGGUACUCCAUACGCAUUCCGUUCUUCCCAUCCACCUCACGCACGAUCACGACCGUUAAUUCCCCACUCUACGGCUCACAAGACCCCCGCAACGACGCCAGUGGCACCAUCUCCUCCCGCAAGAAAGAAAGCCCACAGGAACAAAAGUGGCCGAGGAAAACCACCAGGACCAACGGAAGAGCGAAGAGGGGAACUGGGAACGGCGAAGCUGCUGCCGCCAUGGAUCGGGAGCUGGAGGAGGCGAACUGCAAGUUCGCGUGGCUCAAGCUCGCCUGCGCGGAGGACGAGCUCGACACCUGCGCCACCCUGAUCUCGGAGCUCAAGGUAUCCACCCACCUACCCACGGCUCGACUUCGUCCCCGUCUUUUUCCUGCGACGAUGAGGAAGGGGGAUUCGGUACAUUGACGCCUUUGCCCGCUGUAUACGCGAUGUUUCUGAAAUCCGGGGUAUUAUGGUGGAUGCGCAGGGUUUGUUUGGAGAAUUCGGGAGUUCCGCGGCGCGGGGGAUGGGGUUUACGAGCGGUUUUGGGCGAGUUCCAGGGAGUUUUUCUUUUCGAUUCGAGGAUCCAUUUCCACCUGGGUUUGAUCAGGUUUGGGAGAUGGAUGGGUGGGUCGGGAAUUCGGGAUGCGCUCCCCGUUGGUUCCUGAAAUUUCCCAACUGUACUGCUGCUGCCUAGGGUUUGAUGCGAUUUGCUGGAAAUGAGGGGAGGAGUUGGGGCGAGGGUUUGCAGUUCUGGAGAUGUGAAGAUCCAGUUCCACAAUAACAAUGUCAACACUGAUGUAGGUCCUGGUCUGGGGAUUCACGACAGGAUGCAAUGCUGUGUUUUUUGUUUUGAAUUGUCAGGGUUUCACUUAAAUUCAGCGUUUAUCAUCAGGUGACAUGUCUCCUCAUUUCGUUGAUUUCAGGUUCUUCUCACAAAGUUUCCUAGCCUGCCACCAUCAUUUAAGAAUACACCCAAUGCAGUUGCGGAGCUGAGACUCGCAAGUAAGCACUUGCUCCUGGAAAAAAACUGUGCUCUGUCCUUUGUCAUGCUGAACCAUUUUUAUUUUCAGUUAAAGGUGGGAUUCUGAACCAAUUUAAGAGAAAUGCUCCUAUAAAAUGGAACCCAAAAUUCUGCAUAUGGAGUUUCAUCCAAUUUGAGACGUGCUAUGUAGUUGAAGGUGUUUCGUGGAAUACUCUUUUCAGGAUGCGUGUAUUGAGCUCUGUAUGUAUGUUCGCUGGUCAUGGACUACAACUGCAAUUCUACAAAGCAUUCUCCUGAAGAGAGUAUUGUUGUCACUCAUAAAUGUUCUUUACACCAUUUGAGAAAGCCCUGUUCACUACAUUUUUUAAUUGCAAUCUACUGUACCAUUUUGCAAGUGUGUAGUAGACUAUAACUGUCCUACUGUAAGACUGCUGGCUACAUUUUUGCAUUGCAAUUUACCAUUUCAUCUAAAAACUGCAAGUCUGGAAAGCAUUUUUCAUGCUACGGCAUCAACUCUAAGAAUGCUGGCUACACUUCUGCAUUGCAGUUUACCAUUUUGCAAUCUACAUUUUUGUAUAAAUUAGUUGUGGUGACUGAUCGUGAAACUUUCAGGGGCCAUAUACGAGUUUGCUGUCAUCUUCAGCAUCAGAGUUAAGGACCAAGAUGCAUUUGAGAGGAACUUCUUCCAACUAAAAGUCUUCUACAUGGAUACAAGGUUUGUUUUCUACUUAAGCACAUUUUGGUCCUACGUACUGCAUAGAUUCAUCCUAUGUAGUCAUGCACGUAAAUUAUCUUUCUAGCUUAUUUUUCUUGUGCCAACACGCUUAUGUUUUUCCUAAAAAACAAUUGACAUUUCAAAUAUCUAGAUCGUGGACAUGCACUUCCUUGAUACAAUCUAUUUGAUUGUGGUGGAAGUUAUGUGUUGUGACCAUUAACCUUUGGUUUAAUCACUAUCUAGUACCUUGGCAUUCUAUUCCUCACAGCACCUAUAAGGAAUGGCAGGUGCCAGCAGGACACCCUUGAUAUAAGUAAUCAAAAUGCAAUUAUUAAGAUUCUUUCGUUCAGCAGUCAGCACAUGGUUUCAUUGUUUGUCAUUUGUCAAGUCGACAUUGUUGAGGAAUGAGGAUACGUUUAUGAAUUGUCUUAAUCUGUGCGACCUCCUGGAUUUUUAGGAGCACGAUUAUCUUGUGGCUAAAAGAUGCCGCUGAACAUUUCCACAUAGAUAUUCUAUCCUGGAGCACUGUAUUUCUGAACUUAUGUUUGCCGAGUGCUAUUGAUAUUGUGUUUUCUUUUGUGAUUGUCCAUCAGAAGCAUACUCCCACCAUCACCAGAAGAAUAUCGAAUUUGGGGGCUUAAUCUUCUGAGGCUGUUGGCUGAGAACAGAGUAGCUGAAUUCCACACUGAGCUGGAACUUCUGCCCCCCAGAGCCCUAGACCAUCCUUGCAUCAAAUAUGCAGUCGAGCUUGAGCAAUCCUUUAUGGAAGGUACCUACAACCGAUUAACCAAUGGUCAGCGAGCUGUGCCACAUGAGACAUACCUCUACUUCAUGGACCCUUCUUGCUGAAACUAUUAGGUGAAUGAAUUUACAUUACGUUUUCUACAUGGCUCGUGUGGUGAAGUUCCUGAUUGUGUUCUCUACGUCUUCUUUUGCAGAGAUGAGAUAGCUGAUUGCAGUGGUCAGGCAUACGAUCACUUGCCAGUGGAUGGUACCAGAAAAAUGCUGAUGUUUUCCUCUGAGCAAAAGCUUCUGGAGUACAUAUCAGAGGUAACUAUUAAUUUCUCUCGUCUUCUGUCCUAUCACCAUGUUUUAUAUGAAUAAUGUCAUAGUGAAUCGUUGGCGUCUGAAUAAUUUAAAGGGUGGUAAAACACAUCUUGUUAGAGGCAUGAGUGCAAACCACUAAGCUGCUACUCUACUGACAUAACCAUAUGCGUACUAGUAGACUAGAUUGUAUGAUUGUUAACGCUGCCACUUCCUGACUAUACAAGUACUCCUUAUGUUGGCAGAUACAGCAUGAAUGGGAGGUUCAGAAUCAUUCAGUCCUUUUCCACAUGGCGAAGGUCCAACCCCGUGUCGGCAUACAAGCGCAUCAGAUGAUCAAGCGAUCUCUUUGCUACGCACGGGAGCUCGAGCGGGUAGUGUAACCUGCAAAACACUGUGGAUAUUGUUCGACGAGCGGAUGGUAUAACUUGCAAAGCGAGGUGGAUUUUGUCCCAUGUAGGUAGUCCGUGAUAUUAGUAUUUUGUCCCAAGGAACGAUCAGUCUAGAUGCUAGAUAGUCAUGUCUCGUGAUAUGCGUUCUCCUUGCUGAAAUGCUGGAAUUUCUGUUGAAAACACAGGCUGGGGACUGCUUGACGAUGCUAAAAUCGAUGAGAUAUGUUCGGUUCCAGUAUGAUGCUCCCCUGUCGUGAAAUUCAUUUAAGUUCAGUUCAGUUGGAUAUGUUCAGUUCCAGUAUGAUGCUCCCUGUUGUGAAGUUCAUUUCAGUUCAGUUGGAUGCUUUGAUGGAAAUUGGGAACUCAGCAUAGGAUCAUGUGAGCGGUUAAACUUGUUAUCAAAUCUAUCUCCCAUUUUUCUAAAGUGACGGCGCUAUUUCUCAGCCAGUAGAACUAUUUUGACACAUUCAGGACAUUAUACAUAACCAGCUCACUGACCCUCGGGAGCUUUGAAUUUGUAGCUCAAAUCACUAUACAGAGACAACAUGAAUGGUCAGGAAACGAGUCAACAUACUCGAUGCAGCAUUGCACUUGUGCUGCCUCAGCUACCCUCCCAUGUUCCUUGAGGAAACUAAUUCCUUAUUCCUUGUUGUGCAUUAGCUUUAAUCGACAGAGUAGAGAAAAAAGAAUGGCCGGCCAAGAAUCGACUGUCAUGAACCGGAUCACUGCAUCGUCUUAGAGUAACACCCACGGGACUGUCAUGAACCAGAUCCCUGCAUCGACUUGAGCAACUUCUUCAGCGUAUCCACAAUGCUUGAAAACGAAGGGCGCUGCCUUGGGUC